AAGCUCGUAGUUGAAUUUCGGGAUUAGUACGUCGGUCGUGCCUUAGGUACGUACUGGUGUUACUGGUUCCUACCUUCUGACGAACCAUCAUGUCAUUAAUUUGGUGUGGUGGGGAAUCAGGACUGUUACUUUGAAAAAUUAGGGUGUUUAAAGCAGGCUCGCGCUUGAAUACAUUAGCACGGAAUAAUGAAAUAGGACGUUGAUCCUAUUUUGUUGGUUUCUAGGAUUGACGUAAUGAUUAAUAGGGAUAGUUGGG
rnacentral:rRNA from 1 species